AACUUCCCAUUCUCGGAAGAAGAAGUGAGAAGAAGAAGAAAGCAGAGUUGAGUUGAGUCCGAUGUUUCUCGUGAAAGUUGAGCCUGGAUGAGCGCCCCGAUGAAAUUUCUGCUUCUUUCUUUCAGAGUCCCUUUCGACUGUAAUGGCGGCGUUACGACCAUUGACUGUCCUGACGGGAGUAUUUAUCUUCUAUCUGCUGGGACAUCUUGACUGUGAAGAGGUCAAAGUCAGACAAGGAGAAAAUGCCAUUCUGGAGUGUUACGGCCCCAGUGAUGCUACUGAAAUAAUGUUAAGGUGGACCAAACCUGACCUGCAGACAGAUAAUUAUGUCAUUUACUUAAAAGAUGGUCAUUUUCAGAAAGACCUCCAGAAUGACUUGUUUAAAGGUCGGGUGGAGCUGAAGGAUUCAAAAUGGAUGACGAAUGGAAACUUCUCAGUGAUUCUCCAGAAUGUCACCUUGAACGAUUCUGGAACAUAUGAAUGUUAUGCAGCAUACAACAAUCAGCCAGUUCAAAUUUUGAACAGCACCAGCCUGAAGGUAGAAGAACAA